AAGCCACUAUCUAUCGCGGCUCACCCUCGAACACUUCCUCUCACGCGCACAGUCAACGGCGCGGGAUAGCAUCUUAUCGCACUUGGACUUCAUACGUAAGCUCACGGCAACGCCAACAGAUAAAUUUCACCGGUUGUGUCCAUAUAAUCACUAUCACAAAUAAACGGGAAUAGUUCUACCUUGUUUAAAUUCAUGGCUCUUUCAUUCGUGAACAUUAUUUACGUGAAGCAAAAUUAUCAGUGAGCAAAACAAUUUUUUUUUCAGCGCGAGGGAAGAAAACCGAAACUAGUUUAUGAUUUGUGCGGCCCCAAAGUGAUCCAAAGUCGAAGCCAUCAAAAGCACGACGCCAUUUUGUAGUUGUGUUGCAACAUGCAUGCGCGAGCUCGCUGUCGUUGUUGAACGGCCCUGAAAGCGCUGCGUUAGGGGCGAGUGCAACCGAACAUUACGGCAAGUUACGAUGGGAACUUCUUUCCGUGCUACGUGAUUGCGACGACAAGAACGGCCAGCAGUAGCGUGUCGCCGAUUUCGUCUUUGCCGACAUCGAACAAGUACAGCUCGCCGGACCGUGGCAAGCACCCGAAGUGUUGCGGUCUGCACUGCGUCGUCUUUCAUUGUGAUGUGAGAGAUCGUAACGCACAGAGACUGCCGGAUGCAUACGAAAGCCUACCAGCAGGGAGUGACUGUGCCAUUUUUCUCUUAACGUCUCAGGUAUUGAAGAAGCGGCAACAGCCACAGGAAGUAGCCAUCUUAUCCAGCACGUUAUGGGUAGAACUUGGCGGCUCCUGCUCCUGCCUUCCACCACCACCCUGUCCCGACUGCUUCCACUAGAGAGUUGGCAACCUUAGUGAUGAUGCCAAGCAGUCCAAUGGCAGACGGCAAGAUGCAGGUUGCUGCGAAAUUUUACCCGAGCUGGGCCACACACUUGAGCCAGGCCUCUUGGAAAGGAUGCCAUAAUCAGACUCCACGCGUCUAUGUCAGAGGAUGCCAGGGAUCAAGGCAACCUGUUGUGCCCCACUAUUCAAUGUUUGGUGACCCUUCUAUGUGUUUCACCUAUUUCGCAGCUGUACCUCGGCUGCCAUCUAUCCAAACAGCAUCGCCAGCUGUGCCCACUUAAUGAACCAUGGGCAAAUAUUGGCAUGGAGUGUUCCCUGGGCUUCAUGUUCUAUUUGCUCUUUAGGAUUCUUGGCAAAUACUCCUGUUAUAAGUUACAUGUUUUUAGUACCGACUUUUUAAUAUUUCCUUUCUCUUGGAAUUCUUAACAUCUCCUGCUAUUAUAUCUGUAUGUAUGCCCAGUUUCUCGUAGUUAUUUUGUACUUGUGUAUGUAAUUGAUAGGUUCUUAACUCUUCUAAUGCGUAAGGCUAAACGCUGACUUACAUCAUGUUUUGUUCAUUUAUUAAUCUGCAGCGCUGUAAAACAUUCAAGAAUUUUAACUCAACUAGUGCCCCAUAGCAGGAUAAGUUCAAGAGCAAAAUUGAGCACCUAUUUCAAGCACCCGUUAUUUUUUAAAAAGGAAAGAACGCAGGAGCGUGAAAAAAACAGUAUUAUAGUAGGAAAACCUGGCUGCCCAUCAUAAGUGUGUUAAUAAUGUGACUUCCUUUCAGUGCAAUGAUACCAGUGGCACUGGUGGACAACGUUUGAGACAUGAAACCCAUGAUACCCUUGGCAUUUGUCAGUGUGGCAAAUAGGCUUGCCACACUUACGAAUGCCAACGGUACUGUAGGUUUCAUGCACACAUUAGUUGUGUUACACCUUAUGAGAAUUGCAUGUCUCGAACAUGAAGGUUUACAGCAGUGCUUUGAAUGACCACUAUAUUUCCUAAUUUUCAGUAUUUAUGAAUGCAAGAGUAAUGGUACAGAUCAUGUAAAAAUUAUUUUACAGGCUAUAUGCCUAUAGAUACACGCUUCUGAUGACACAGCACCGACAUGUGGUGGCAGGAUGUAUGUCUUUAUUUCAGAUUUAAAUAUUGCCUUCCAGGCCUGGGUUAGUCUACUACAUUGAGAGCCCAUGCACUAGAGGGAAGUGAAUUAAACUAAGAAUGAUAAACAUCAAAAUAUCUUGUUCGUGGCACUAAUUUGAGAAUCAGCAAGGUUCCUUCUGCAUUCAUUUCUAAAUUUGUGAUAUAUUUUAUAUGACUGGUUUCAUUAAUGUGAGAACAAAUAUUUGUUUAUUGUCAACACAGUUGAUGUCGCCCAUUUGCACACCAUUCCUUUACAGGCUAAAAAUUUAAUGUAAUAAUGGGGUGUUUAAGGUUUUGCGCACUCAGUGUUAAGGGACGCAAAUGGUGGCAUACAACAGAAUGCACGAAAGAACAAAAACAUGCAAGUAGGACAUGGGGCUUUGGGGCACAUGCUUUGGUGUGCUAUUUCUAAAACUCCCUGUGGUCUGCCUGAAUGCAUUGUCUAAUGCUUUGGUAGAAUACAUUGGGAGCCACUUAUUCAGGCGAAAUGCUUCUCGAAACAACUUUUUAAAAUUAUUUCAGUGAGAGAUUUGAAAAAAUCCUGCUGCAUAUAGUUUUAUAUGCAGAUUUUAAAUGUCAGUGGUUUUUGUGUAGCUUCUAUAUUUUUUUAGUUAUGUCCUACACAGUGGCAAAGUAUCUGCGGGCACUUUAAUGUAUAUAACAGUUUCACAAGAAUGAUCGUGCUGUAUCUUAUUCAGCUCGUAGACCGUAAAGUGCCGAUAUCUAUCCAAACACCAUGUAAAAUUACUGAAACUAUGCAAAAAAUAGGACACCUUAAAUUAUUUUGAAAGAUAUUGCAAUUUCAAGUAGAUAUUAGCAAUCUACAUACUUUGAAGAGUAUGUAAGCCAAAUCUCGUUAGUAUCGGACAAUUGUAAGUGCACAAAGUUAUUUGCAUGGGAUUGUGAAAAAAUUAUUAAAGUGUACUGAGCUUUACUUGCAUAGUCCCACUAAGUUUACAUGUUUCGAUAGAUAUCGGCACUUUGUCAUCUACAAAGAGCUAAGUUAGCACAAUGCUUUUUGUGAAAAUUUAAUACAGAAGAAACUGCCCGCAAAGAUCACUAUACAUUGUGCCAUUGUUUAAGACAUAACUGAAGAAAUGUAGCAGCUAAACAAAAAUAACAUAUAUGAAAUCAGCUUGAAGAACCCUCUAAUUGGCUUAAUUUUCAAACCUCUAGUACAAAAAAUAAAAGAAAAUCAUUUUGAGUAGCAUUUCCCUUGAACACAAGAUUUAAUAAACAAAACGUGUCCCUUGCUAUAGUCGCCUUUAACAUAGUGACACAACUUCUAUAUAAUCACAAGAACUUUAUAUGAGUGACAUGCAAAUGGGUGGCCCUAAUGUAACUUAAUGCAUUUACCGAGAGUAAAUUACAGUCGUUACCUAAUCUGCUCUUAGGAUGACUUGUGAUGAGUAAAAGAAGCCUUCCUCAUGUCUCUACUUUCUGCAUGUGUCUUUCAGCUUUUUCUGUAUGUGUCUUUUACAGCUGCAUGUGUGCAGCUGAGUUCAGUUUAGUUACCACCUGGUCUGCUUCCUUCCUUGUCCUCAUGAUUCAUGCGCUAUCUUUGUCAUGCAAAAUACAGCUACCUGUGCUACAUAUUUUGCCAGCAUGAUUGAUUUAUGGCAAGUCUUGUAUUAGUGCUUAUUGCAAUCAGUGAAAUUGUUGGUGUCCUAAAAAACCAUGUUUAGGUCAACUUCAAUAAAAUGUUUAGCUUAAAUAUUGCUGUAUGUUUUUGUAAUAUUGUAAGUUUUCAAGUUUGUAUGCACUGUUGCAGAUUGUAUGAAAGAAUAAAAUUGAUCCACAACUUUUUAAUAUGGUGUUUUUCAGAUCAAUUUUCAACUCAAGCUAAGAAACAUGCAUGAGUUGUGUGGGAAAAGUGCCAACAAGAGUACCAUAAGAAGGCGGGAUCAAAUCCCGGCCGCGGUGGCCGCAUUUCGAUGGAGGCGAAAUGCAAAAACGCCCGUGUGCUUGCGUCGUAGUGCACGUUAAAGAACCCCAGGUGGUCAAAAUUAAUCCGGAGCCCUCCACUACGGCGUGCCUCAUAAUCAGAACUGGUUUUGGCACAUAAAACCCCAAAAAGAAGACACUUCCAGAAGACAAUAACAAAAUGAUGGAAUAAUCACUUUUUGUUGCUAACCUGCCUUGUGCUUAGCUAUGGAUUCAUUAUUAUUCUAUGUUGUCUUUUCACGAUAGUCACUUUGCACUGUCGGCAAAAGUUUGUGACUCAUUUUGAAAAGCGGCUCGACACUGCCAGCAGAGAGUCGAAUGACUUACAUGGAUUGCUUAGUUUACUCUAUUUGCAAGACUCCUGCACCACGCACUAGGGGUAUCGCGACACAUACUAAUGGAGUCAUCAGACUCGUCAAGAAUAGUUACCUGACUCCUUCAACAGUGGUCAUGUGACCCUUUAUCUUGAGUCGUCUGACUCACCUAGAAUAGUUAACAGACUCCCUCAGGAGUAGUCAUGUGACCCUUUAGCUUGAGUCGUCUGACUCACCUAGAAUAGUUAACAGACUCCCUCAGCAGUAGUCAUGUGACCCUCUAUAUUGAGUCGUCUGACUCAUCUAGGAGAGUUAACAGACUCCCUCAGCAGUAGUCUUGUAACCCUCUUGAGAGGGUCCAGGAGACUACUAGAAAAGAGUGUGCAAGACUACUGCGUGAGGAGUUAAGUAACCAUUUUGUAUACAUCACAGAUAGUCUUCGGACUCUCUGGCGAAAGGGAGUUCGGGUGUCUCCCCCAAAGUGUGUCAUAU